rnacentral:rRNA from 1 species
UCCUACGGGGGGCAGCAGUGAGGAAUAUUGGUCAAUGGGCGCGAGCCUGAACCAGCCAAGUCGCGUGAGGGAAGACGGUCCUAUGGAUUGUAAACCUCUUUUGUCGGGGAGCAAAAGACGCCAUGUGUGGCGUUCCGAGAGUACCCGAAGAAAAAGCAUCGGCUAACUACGUGCCAGCAGCCGCGGUAAUACGUAGGGGGCGAGCGUUGUCCGGAAUCACUGGGCGUAAAGGGCGCGUAGGCGGUUUAAUAAGUCAGUGGUGAAAACUGAGGGCUCAACCCUCAGCCUGCCACUGAUACUGUUAG